rnacentral:lncRNA from 1 species
GGGUCAGGCUCGUGACGUUAAACAAGAGCUACCUGGGAGGCAACCCAGUUGAUUGUAUUGUUUUUAAUCCUGCGCAUUGCAUGUUUAAUUGUUAUAUCUGAGUGGGGAAAGACAUAUAAUUGCAAAAUUGAAGGUUGAAACUGAGUGCUAUAAGGUAAGAUUGCUCAAAAAGCAAGCAAAGAAGAAGGAAAAUUUACCGCAAACCGCUGAGCGGUCCAUUUUACCGCUAAGCGGUUGCGACGCGAUGAGUCUCGGCUUUUCUUAAAAGCUGAGCGGUUUUUGAAGUUCUUCACUUUGAAACUCUUCUUUGCAUUUCGCUUGAGCGGUCUCCCUAAGCCCUAGCAUUCUCCUUUCACUAUCAAGAGCUUUUUAGAGAGAUUUCCUCACUUUUUCACCACCCA